UACGGAGGAUGCGAGCGUUAUCCGGAUUUAUUGGGCGUAAAGGGAACGCAGGCGGAAUGUCAAGUCAGCGGUAAAAUUUCGGGGCUCAACCCCGUCGUGCCGUUGAAACUGGCGUUCUUGAGUGAGCGAGAAGUAUGCGGAAUGCGUGGUGUAGCGGUGAAAUGCAUAGAUAUCGCGCAGAACUCCGAUUGCGAAGGCAGCAUGCCGGCUCCACACUGACGCUGAGGCACGAAAGCGUGGGUAUCGAACAGG
rnacentral:rRNA from 1 species